GUUGGCAUAUAUGAUGACUGAAUCUUUUUUCCCCAACAGAUCGACCAUGUUGAUCUACUUGCUCUUAAGCCAGUUUUUGUCUGAUAUGCCAUC